UACAGAGGGGGCAAGCGUUGUUCGGAAUUACUGGGCGUAAAGGGCGCGUAGGCGGCCUGUUUAAGUCGAACGUGAAAAUCCCCGGCUCAACCCGGGAACCUGCGUCCGAUACUGGCAGGGCUUGAAUCCGGGAGAGGGAUGCGGAAUUCCAGGUGUAGCGGUUGAAAUGCGUAGGAUAAUCUGGAGGAAACACCGGUUGGCG
rnacentral:rRNA from 1 species